CAGAAUUGGUUUUAAAACAAAAAGCAAGAUACGAUUAUGAAAGGAAGCAACUCAAGGAUCAUCUUUUGUCACAAACACCACAGUGCUGUUAAGAAACGAGUCCGCAUGCUGCUGGAAUGUAUGGAAAAGGCUGCCGUGCAGUCAGGAAGACAGGCCAUGAGGCUCUGCGUGAGGCCCAGAGAAUAAGAGAAAUUGGAUUGAUCUUCCCACCUUUAACAGCUAAAAAUCUAGAUGUCAUUGAUGAAACAGUGGUUUUCAGACACUAGACAACAGGCAGCACAGGCCAGUGAUAGGGAAGGGAAACAAACAAACCAGCUCAGCCCAAUGACUGCUCAGUGCCCAGAGAGUGCCCAGGCCACCGUAGAGCCAGGGAAGCCCAUGUGGGCCUGCCAGUCUGUCUGCGCUGAGUGGACAGUUGAUGAGGGAGGCCAAGCGGCUAGAAUUCACAGGGCAGCACUGAAAAGAGAGAGCUGCUCAGCGAGCCCCUGGAGCCUGCAGCUGAGUCAUCAUCAGCAUGCGCCUGUGAGGAAACCACCUGAGGCUGGAAAAGAACCACAGAGGAGGAGAGGUAACAAAAACUGGAGCUCACAGAGACCGAAGAAUAGUUCCUUUUCCCACCAGCCAGAGUAGAAAGCCUCAUAACUGAUGAGGCAUUUGGUAGAGUGGAAAUCUAGCCCUAGACUAAAGGAUGCUCUUGUACUGCUUAACGAUGCCUAAAGAUACACCUCCAGGCCAGGUGCAGUGGCUCGUGCCUAUAAUCCCAGCAGUUUGGGAGGCCAAGGCAGGUGGAUCACCUGAGGUCAGGAGUUCGAGACCAGCCUGGCCAACAUGGCGAAACCCCAUCUCUACUAACAAUACAAAAAUUAGCCUGGUGUGGUGGCGUGUACCUGUAAUACCAGCUAUUUGGGAGGCUGAGGCAGGAGAAUCGCUUGAACCUGGGGGGCGGAGGUUGCAGUGAGACGAGAUUACGCCA
rnacentral:lncRNA from 10 species